ACACACACACACACACACACACACACACACACAAAACAUGAAGUUGAGAGGGAAGAUGAAAGAAGGGGCUGGUCCUGUCACUUCCUUCCUUCCUUCCUUCCUUCCUUCCUUCCUUCCUUCCUUCCUUUUCUUUUUUUGUCUGUUUUGUUUUGUUUUUGAGACAGGGUUUCUCCAUAUAGUGCUGGCUGUCCUGGAACUCACUUUGUAGACCAGGCUGGCCUUGAACUCAGAAAUCUGCCCGUCUCUGAUUCCUAAGUGAUGGGAUUAAAGGCGUGUGCCACCACUGCCCGGCCAUUUUCUUUAACAUAGUUGAGAUAAUCCUGCCGAAAUCCAAUUUCAAGAUGAUGCUAUCAAGUGGUAAUGGAGAUUGACCAUCAUACACGUGUGUAUUGAAUAUGUGUAUCUAGCUAUUAUGAAACCCAGAAAUUUAAAGCACUUCCUAGCAUUACAUACAGCAUUUAAGAGUACAGCCUUAUGAAAAACUUGAUAACCACAUUAAAUAAAUUUGGACAAAUUUUCUUGAUGAACCUAACUGAAAAUAUUGUCAAGGAAAUAUUUGAAAAUAAGAUGUGACAAUGCCUUUGAAAGGACAAGGCAGCACGAUCAGAUUGAUUUCAUCCUGCUCCUGGGAAUAAAAGAUGGCACAGCAUAUUCAAACCAAUAGAUGUAAUACAACACAUAAAUAGAAUCAAGGACAAAACUUCCAUUAUCACUGUAAUAAAAAUAGGAAAUCUUUGACCCAAUUUGACUUCCUCCCUGAAAAAGUCUCACAAAAACUAGAAAUAAAAGGAUCAAACUAUCAGAUCAUUAAUAUAAUGUAUAAGAAAGAUAGAAAAAGAUUAUUGGACCAUGUGCACAGUUCAGUUUAUACAAGGUAUUAGACACCAGGCAAUAGGCAUGUCUGACAGGCAAUGCCAGGAUGAAGUAGAACUGGGCAUUUUGGAAGCAUUGAGGGACAAACUACAGUAACAUCUGGCUGAGUGUGUGAUUAUACAAGAGUCUUCUGGAAAAGUGUAAAAGACAGUGAAGAAGUCAGCAAAAGAGAUGCAGACUGGGUAGACCAGGGGCAUGAAACUGCCAACUGUAGCAGUGUUUAGGGCAGAGGGGUAAACCAGGUCCUUCAGAAGAGGCCCAGAGUUCUGUUUCUCUUAAAUAGUCUCUGUGUUUUCCUUGGGAAAAUGACUUAAUUUUCUGUGUAUGAUUAUAAUUGCCCACAUAAGGAGAAACUUAACUCUGUUUCUUGGUCUCCAUCUGCUCGUGUUUUAUGGCUUCUGUGGGUCUGAGAGAGGCAGAUAUUUGUGCUGACUCUUCUCUCGCCAUCUUCUCAAGGACUUGGCCUAAGUAAGCACAAAUUGUUCUGGGGGCAUCUCUCCCCUUUUGAAUCUUUGUUUUCCUCUAGUGCUGGAGGUGGAACCCAGUGCCUGGUUCAUGCUAGGUAAGUGUCCUAGGGCUAAACUACCACUCCCAACCCACUUGCUGGUUACUUAGCAAAAACUGGAGCAAACAUCUGUCUGAGAAACAGGACCUUCUAGGUUGCAAGGGCAAUGUUGAACUGGCAGAUUAGCAGAAGAAAGGGCAAGUGUCAUGAUUUCUCUGGGAAAGCUGAAACAUGAGCUGAGCUGAGGAACAAAGGAGAGGAAGGAGAUGUAUAAGUGGUGCUGAGAAUGGAAUUGAAUUGGGAGGCUGCAAGAGGAGGCAGAGCCAGUCACAAGAAGAGACAUGGGGCACUCCUUAAGACCCCUUUCUUCCUUCCCUACAAACAGCAUCAGAGCAAAUUUGAGGAUUAUUUCUCAAGUUUUCCAAGACCGUUGUCUUUCACGAAGCUAUUCUCAGAAGCAGGAGAACUGUUUAAAGGGAAUUGCAUUUGGGAUUAUAGAAUGAUUUCAUGUUUUUACACUGGCCUAUCUCAGUUCCUUCUAUAAAACUGACACUGAUUUACCUAAAUCGCUGUAAAAUUUCUCCUCAACUCCCGUGGUCUUUCUCUGCCAGCUACACUUGUCCUGUAAUAGAUUUAGUUAGAACCCUCCCAAAUUCUCAUGUCUAAGUCCCAACCUAUUGCCUCCAUGUCAUCGAGGAUGUACAGCCCAUGG
rnacentral:lncRNA from 1 species